rnacentral:rRNA from 1 species
CCUACGGGCGGCAGCAGUGGGGAAUAUUGCACAAUGGGGGAAACCCUGAUGCAGCAACGCCGCGUGAGUGAAGACGUAUUUCGGUAUGUAAAGCUCUAUCAGCAGGGAAGUAGAUGACGGUACCUGAUUAAGAAGCCCCGGCUAACUACGUGACAGCAGCCGCGGUAAUACGUAGGGGGCAAGCGUUAUCCGGAUUUACUGGGUGUAAAGGGAGCGCAGACGGCAGAGCAAGUCUGGAGUGAAAGCCUGGGGCCCAACCCCGGAACUGCUCUGGAAACUGGGCGGCUAGAGUACUGGAGGGGCAGGCGGAAUGCGUAGUGUAGCGGUGAAAUGCGUAGAUAUUAGGAAGAACACCAGUUGCGAAGGCGGCCUGCUAGACAGUAACUGACGUUGAGGCUCGAAAGCGUGGGGAGCAAACAGGAUUAGAUACCCGUGUAGUC